rnacentral:rRNA from 1 species
GACGUAGGGCGCGAGCGUUGUCCGGAUUUAUUGGGCGUAAAGAGCUCGUAGGCGGCUUGUCGCGUCGACUGUGAAAUCCCGCGGCUCAACUGCGGGUCUGCAGUCGAUACGGGCAGGCUAGAGUUCGGUAGGGGGAGACUGGAAUUCCUGGUGUAGCGGUGAAAUGCGCAGAUAUCAGGAGGAACACCGGUGGCGAAGGCGGAUCUCUGGGCCUUACCUGACGCUCAGGCGCGAAAGCUAGGGGGAGCGAACAGG